AACGCGAAGAACCUUACCUGGGUUUGACAUACACCAGAAACGCGUAGAGAUACGUGCCCCCUUGUGGUUGGUGUACAGGUGGUGCAUGGCUGUCGUCAGCUCGUGUCGUGAGAUGUUGGGUUAAGUCCCGCAACGAGCGCAACCCUUAUCUUAUGUUGCCAGCGCGUCAUGGCGGGGACUCGUGAGAGACUGCCGGGGUCAACUCGGAGGAAGGUGGGGACGACGUCAAGUCAUCAUGCCCCUUAUGUCCAGGGCUUCACACAUGCUACAAUGGCCGGUACAGAGGGUUGCGAUAUCGUGAGGUGGAGCGAAUCCCUUAAAGCCGGUCUCAGUUCGGAUCGGGGUCUGCAACUCGACCCCGUGAAGUUGGAGUCGCUAGUAAUCGCAGAUCAGCAACGCUGCGGUGAAUACGUUCCCGGGCCUUGUACACACCGGUAUCUC
rnacentral:rRNA from 1 species